CAGAGUUCAUGCCCUCACGGGUAGAUCUCCCACCCUUGAUAUUUAUACCAUUGUUGCUUUGGCGAGCCGCGGCUCUCCGCUACCGGCUCCGGCUGGUAUGUGCUCGCCAGAGAACCCAACUCUUGUUUUUAGUGAUGUCUGAGUACUAUAUAAUAGUUA
rnacentral:misc_RNA from 1 species